rnacentral:rRNA from 1 species
CCUGACGCAGCGACGCCGCGUGGAGGAUGAAGCCCUUCGGGGUGUAAACUCCUUUCGACGGGGACGAAUGUGCGGUUGUUGARACCGCCUUGACGGUACCCGUAUAAGARGCCCCGGCUAACUACGUGCCAGCAGCCGCGGUAAUACGUAGGGGGCAAGCGUUGCUCGGAAUUACUGGGCGUAAAGGGUUCGUAGGCGGUUGGGCAAGUCGGCGGUGAAAUCUCUCGGCUUAACCGAGAGGGGUCCGCCGAAACUACCUGACUCGAGGGCCGGAGAGGGGAGUGGAAUACCUGGUGUAGCGGUGAAAUGCGUAGAGAUCAGGUGGAACACCGGAGGCGAAGGCGGCUCCCUGGACGGUACCUGACGCUGAGGAACGAAAGCUGGGGGAGCAAACAGGAUUAGAUACCCUGGUAGUCCCAGCCCUAAACGAUGGUCACUGGACGUGCCGCGGUUCCCGCGGCGUGUCGCAGCUAACGCGCUAAGUGACCCGCCUGGGGAGUACGGUCGCAAGACUGA